GGGUCGGUAGCUCAGCGGGUAGAGCGCUGGGGGAAUAUGGAUCCCUGGGUGAAACGGGACUCCUCUCUUCGAGAGAGGCGUUUAAAUAACCCCAACGCCCUGGGAUCCCCAUCCAGAGGUCCCAAGUUCGAAUCUUGGCCGGUCCA